UAAAAGCAGGAAUGGAAACAGUGAUAACCU
rnacentral:piRNA from 1 species